rnacentral:rRNA from 1 species
AUCGAACGCUGGCGGCAGGCCUAACACAUGCAAGUCGAGCGAGCGGCGGACGGGUGAGUAAUGUAUGGGGACCUGCCCGAUAGAGGGGGAUAACUACUGGAAACGGUGGCUAAUACCGCAUACUAUCGGAUGAACCCAUAUGGGAUUAGCUGGUGGGUGGGGUAAAGGCGCACCUGGGCGACGAGCUCUAGCUGGUCUGAGAGGAUGAUCAGCCACACUGGGACGAGGACACGGCCCAGACUCCUACGGGAGGCAGCGGAGGGGAAUAUUGCACAAUGGGCGAAAGCCUGAUGCAGCCAUGCCGCGUAUGUGAAGAAGGCCUUGGGGUUGUAAAGUACUUUCAGCGGGGAGGCGUUACCCGCAGAAGAAGCACCGGCUAACUCCGUGCCAGCAGCCGCGGUAAUAC